rnacentral:rRNA from 1 species
GUGAGGAAUAUUGCACAAUGGGCGAAAGCCUGAUGCAGCAACGCCGCGUGAGUGAUGAAGGCCUUUGGGUCGAAAAACUCUGUCCUUGGGGAAGAAAAAAAUGACGGUACCCUUGGAGGAAGCCCCGGCUAACUACGUGCCAGCAGCCGCGGUAAUACGUAGGGGGCAAGCGUUAUCCGGAAUUAUUGGGCGGAAAGAGUGCGUAGGUGGUUUUGUAAGCGUAGGGUGAAAGGCAGUAGCUCAACUAUUGUUAGCCCUGCGAACUGUGAGACUUGAGUGCAGGAGAGGAAAGUGGAAUUCCUAGUGUAGCGGUGAAAUGCGUAGAUAUUAGGAGGAACACCAGUGGCGAAGGCGACUUUCUGGACUGUAACUGACACUGAGGCACGAAAGCGUGGGUAGCAAACAGGAUUAGAAACCCCGGUAGUCC